rnacentral:rRNA from 1 species
UACGAAGGGGGCUAGCGUUGUUCGGAAUUACUGGGCGUAAAGGGCGCGUAGGCGGUCCUGAUCGUCGGAUGUGAAAGGCCUGGGCUCAACCUGGGAACUGCAUCCGAUACGGCGGGACUGGAGUGUGGGAGAGGUUGGUGGAAUUCCCAGUGUAGAGGUGAAAUUCGUAGAUAUUCGCAAGAACACCAGUGGCGAAGGCGGCUCACUGGCCCGUAACUGACGCUGAGGCACGAAAGCGUGGGGAGCAACAGGG